rnacentral:rRNA from 1 species
AAUGAACGCUGGCGGCGUGCCUAAUACAUGCAAGUCGAGCGAACAGACGAGGAGUUUUCUCCUCUGACGUUAGCGGCGGACGGGUGAGUAACACGUGGAUAACCUACCUAUAAGACUGGGAUCACUUCGGGAAACCGGAGCUAAUACCGGAUAAUAUAUUGAACCGCAUGGUUCAAUAGUGAAAGACGGUUUUGCUGUCACUUAUACAUGGAUCCUCGCCGCAUUAGCUAGUUCGUAAGGUAACGGCUUACCAAAGCGACGAUGCGUAGCGGACCGGGGAGGGUGAACAGCCACACUGGAAAUGAGACACGGUCCAGACUCCUACGGGAGGCAGCAGGGGGGAAGAUUGGACAAAGGGGGAAAACCUGAACGAGGCAAGCCGGGUGUGGGAAGAAGGUCUUCGGAUUGUAAAACCCUUUAAGUUGGGAGGAAAAAAAGGAAGAUAAUACCUUGCUGGUUUGACGGUACCUAAAGAAUAAGCCCCGGCUAACUUCGUG